rnacentral:lncRNA from 1 species
AUGUGUCGCAGCUGUGCCCCGGGCUGCACCUCAUGUGCGAAGAAUGCCACCCAUUGCCUGAGCUGUGUGGAGCCCCUCCUCCUCCACAAACACCAGUGCGUGGAGACCUGCCCCCCCGCUCACCUCCUCAGGGACGGGGAGUGUCUGCGGUGUCCCGCCGCCUGCCAGGAGUGUACGACCGGCAGCCAGUGUACACGUGAGAGUGUAUUUACACACGUACAGUAUACACGCAUAUAUACAGAGGAACAGUAUACACGUAUAUACAGAGGAACAGCACACACGCGUAUAUACAGAGGAACAGCACACACGCGUAUAUACAGAGGAACAGCACACACGUAUAUACAGAGGAACAGCACACGCGUAUAUACAGAGCAACAGCACACACGUGUAUAUACAGAGCAACAGCACACACACGUAUAUACAGAGGAACAGCACACACGCGUAUAUACAGAGGAACAGCACACACGCGUAUAUACAGAGGAACAGCACACGCGUAUAUACAGAGCAACAGCACACGCGCGUAUAUACAGAGCAACAGCACAUGCGCGUAUAUACAGAGCAACAGCACAUGCGUAUAUACAGAGGAACAGCACACGCGUAUAUACAGAGGAACAGCACACGCGUAUAUACAGAGGAACAGCACACGCGUAUAUACAGAGGAACAGUAUACACGCGUAUAUACAGAGGAACAGCACACGCGUAUAUACAGAGGAACAGUAUACACGCGUAUAUACAGAGGAACAGCACACGCGUAUAUACAGAGGAACAGCACACGCAUAUAUACAGAGGAACAGUAUACACGCGUAUAUACAGAGCAACAGCACACACACGUAUAUACAGAGCAACAGCACACACACGUAUAUACAGAGGAACAGCACACACGCGUAUAUACAGAGGAACAGCACACGCGUAUAUACAGAGGAACAGUAUACACGCGUAUAUACAGAGGAACAGCACACGCGUAUAUACAGAGGAACAGUAUACACGCGUAUAUACAGAGGAACAGCACACACGCGUAUAUAA